CAAUAGCGUAUAUUAAAGUUGUUGCAGUUAAAAAGCUCGUAGUUGGAUUUCUGGCUUUAGGUGGUCGGAAGACGCGGCCUUUGGUUAGCGUCGGAAGAUCGCCGGGCCAUCCUUCGUGGAGAGACGUUCGGCCCUUUACCGGGUCUGGGCGUCGAUCCCGAUCAAUUACUGUGAAAAAAUUAGAGUGUUCAAAGCAGGCGUAUGCUGUGAAUACAUUAGCAUGGAAUAAUAAGAUAGGACUUUGGUUCUGUUUUGUUGGUUAAGGAACUAGAGUAAUGAUUGAUAGGACGGUUUGGGGGUGCUAGUAUUCAACGGCCAGAGGUGAAAUUCGAUGAUUCGUUGAAGACUAACUAAUGCGAAAGCAUUCACCAAGGACGUCUUCUUUAA
rnacentral:rRNA from 1 species